GACGAACCGUGCGAACGUUAUUCGGAAUCACUGGGCUUAAAGGGCGCGUAGGCGGGCUCGUCAGUCAGGGGUGAAAUCCCACGGCCCAACCGUGGAAGUGCCUCUGAUACUGCGGGCCUCGAGGGGGAUAGGGGCGUGCGGAACUCAGGGUGGAGCGGUGAAAUGCGUAGAUAUCCUGAGGAACACCGGUGGCGAAAGCGGCGCGCUGGAUCCCUUCUGACGCUGAGGCGCGAAAGCCAGGGGAGCAAACGGG
rnacentral:rRNA from 1 species